CGUGAACAUAGUUUAAACAAAACCCUAGCUUGUGAUUCUAGAAAAGAAGACUAACUCCCUUCUGUUCACC
rnacentral:tRNA from 1 species